UACGGGGGGAGCAAGCGUUGUUCGGAUUUACUGGGCGUAAAGGGCGCGUAGGCGGUCAGCACAAGUCAAUUGUGAAAUCGUCCGAGCUUAACUCGGAAAGGUCAACUGAAACUGUGCGACUAGAGUGCGGAAGGGGCAACUGGAAUUCUUGGUGUAGCGGUGAAAUGCGCAGAGUAUCAGGAGGAACACCGGUGGCGAAGGCGGGUCUCUGGGCCGAUACUGACGCUGAGGAGCGAAAGCGUGGGGAGCGAACAGG
rnacentral:rRNA from 1 species